rnacentral:rRNA from 1 species
AUUGAACGCUGGCGGCAUGCUUUACACAUGCAAGUCGAACGGCAGCACGGGGGCAACCCUGGUGGCGAGUGGCGAACGGGUGAGUAACACAUCGGAACGUGUCCAGUUGUGGGGGAUAACCCAUCGAAAGGUGGGCUAAUACCGCAUGAGCUGGCAACAGGAAAGCGGGGACCCGCAAGGGCCUUGUGCGAUUGGAGCGGCCGAUGUCCGAUUAGCUAGUUGGUGGGGAAAGCCUACCAAGGCUUCGAUCGGUAGCUGGUCUGAGAGGAUGAUCAGCCACACUGGGACUGAGACACGGCCCAGACUCCUACGGGAGCAGCAGUGGGGAAUUUUGGACAAUGGGGGCAACCCUGAUCCAGCCAUGCCGCGUGAGUG